CCUACGGGAGGCAGCAGUGGGGAAUAUUGCACAAUGGGGGGAACCCUGAUCCAGCGACGCCGCGUGAGUGAAGAAGUAUUUCGGUACGUAAAGCUCUAUCAGCAGGGAAGAAAGAAAUGACGCUACCUGACUAAGAAGCCCCGGCCAACUCCGUGCCAGCCGCCGCGGUAAUACGUAGGGGGCAAGCGUUAUCCGGAUUUACUGGGUGUAAAGGGAGCGUAGACGGCGCUGCAAGUCUGAAGUGAAAGGCGAGGGCCCAACCACUGAACUGUUUGGGAAACUGUAUGGCUGGAGUGCAGGAGAGGUAAGUGGAAUUCCUAGUGUAGCGGUGAAAUGCGUAGAUAUUAGGAGGAACACCAGUGGCGAAGGCGGCUUACUGGACUGUAACUGACGUUGAGGCUCGAAAGCGUGGGGAGCAAACAGGAUUAGAUACCCCAGUAGUC
rnacentral:rRNA from 1 species